GACGAACCGUGCGAACGUUGUUCGGAAUCACUGGGCGUAAAGGGCUCGUAGGUGGCCAACUCAGUCAGACGUGAAAUCCCUCGGCUUAACCGGGGAACUGCGUCUGAUACUGGAUGGCUUGAGGUUGGGAGAGGGAUGCGGAAUUCCAGGUGUAGCGGUGAAAUGCGUAGAUAUCUGGAGGAACACCGGUGGCGAAGGCGGCAUCCUGGACCAAUUCUGACACUGAGGAGCGAAAGCCAGGGGAGCAAACGGG
rnacentral:rRNA from 1 species